GUGCCACCACCCGCGGCGAUACUUAAGUGGGGAGCGUUAUCCCGCAUUAUUGGGCGUAAAGCGCGCGCAGGCGGUUUUUUAAGUCUGAUGUGAAAGCCCACGGCUCAACCGUGGAGGGUCAUUGGAAACUGGAAAACUUGAGUGCAGAAGAGGAAAGUGGAAUUCCAUGUGUAGCGGUGAAAUGCGCAGAGAUAUGGAGGAGCACCAGUGGCGAAGGCGACUUUCUGGUCUGUAACUGACGCUGAUGUGCGAAAGCGUGGGGAUCAAACAGGAUUAGAUACCCUGGUAGUCC
rnacentral:rRNA from 1 species